rnacentral:lncRNA from 1 species
GGUUACCGCUGCUUCAAGGCUGUACUCUUCCUCACUGGGUUGCUGUUUGGCUCAGUGGUUAUCUUCCUGUUGUGCUACCGAGAGCGGGUUCUGGAGACGCAGCUGAGUGCUGGGGCAAGCGCGGGCAUCGCACUGGGCAUUGGACUGCUCUGCGGACUGGUAGCCAUGCUGGUACGCAGCGUGGGCCUCUUCCUGGUGGGGCUACUGCUCGGUCUGCUGCUCGCUGCUGCUGCCCUACUAGGCUCCGCACCCUAUUACCAGCCUGGCUCCGUAUGGGGCCCACUGGGGCUGCUGCUGGGAGGCGGCCUGCUCUGUGCCCUGCUCACGCUGCGCUGGCCCCGGCCACUCACCACCCUUGCCACUGCCGUGACGGGUGCUGCACUCAUUGCCACCGCCGCAGACUAUUUUGCCGAACUGCUACUGCUGGGGCGCUACGUGGUGGAGCGAUUGCGGGCUGCCCCUGUGCCUCCCCUCUGCUGGCGGAGCUGGGCCC